rnacentral:rRNA from 1 species
UCGCUACUACCGAUUGAAUGAUUAGGUGAGAUUUUCGGACUGGGGCGUGACCGCUGGUAACAGAGGUAAUGCCUUGGGAAGUUGCUCAAACUUGAUUAUUUAGAGGAUGGAG